UACGUAGGGUCCGAGCGUUGUCCGGAGUUACUGGGCGUAAAGCGCACGCAGGCGGUCAGAUCAGUCUGGAGUGACAGUCGUCGGCUUAACCGACGAAGUGUUCUGGAAACUGUCUGACUUGAGGGCUUCAGAGGGACACGGAAUUCCGGGUGGAGUGGUGAAAUGCGUAGAUAUCCGGAGGAACACCAAUGGCGAAGGCAGUGUCCUGGGAAGUACCUGACG
rnacentral:rRNA from 1 species